rnacentral:misc_RNA from 1 species
AUUGUUAAAAAUCACAGUUGUAAGGCGAACUUUACUUAUUUCACUUUGUUUUUUAUGAGGAAAACACGCAGUAUUUUUAUCUCUUCAUUUGGCUGAACAGACAGUAUUAUAGAUUACACAGUAUACAAACAAAAUGUACUUAACGUAACACUAAAACUAGGUAAAAUAAAUCGAUUGAAUUUAGAACACAAACCAACAGGCUAGAAUUCGUUUCCUAGAACAUAAGUAGUAUAUCGUAGGUGAUACUGCAAUACCGCACAACUAAUACUCGCUAAUAUUGCGUAACUACAAAAAAUCAAACAUGAGAUUUUAUGCGUAGAGACUCUUUAUAGCAGUUGACAUUAUCCAAUGAGGUCAGCUGCGUGCUGCUUCUAAAAAAAUGGUUCAAAGGAAAUAAGCCAAAACCGCGGCAGCAACGUUCAUUAUGUAAGAGAAAGGAAGCAAAAGUAAAACAUAAUCGUUGAUUAUAAAUGGAAUCUACACUAACACCCACUGGGUCGAUUUAUCCAAAAACGUUAACGUUGGUGCAAAAGAAAAUGCUGCCAUCAUUUCUCUGAAUUAUCCCCACACUUGAUUUACUGUUAUCCUGAACACUUCACAAAAAACAUUAGCAGAUUAUUCUUUUAAUAAAUGUAAAACUUUGAGUGCUAAAUAUUGUACAACAAGCUCUUGAGUCUCUCUGUCGGACAGUAUAAACGUACCUACAACCUAUGGGAUCUAGCGAUAUUAAUUGCCUUCCAAACAAUACUCUAAAGGGAAAUGCAGUAAAAGAAAACGAAUGGCUAAUCUUGAAAGAACAAUCGAAAAAGAAGGAUAUGAUACUAGGAAAAACGUAUCGAACUCAAGAAAUUCGAUAAUAAAUGCUGUCGAAUGCUACCAAAGCCUGAAAAAGCUAUCGGCUCUAUAUUUUAUUUUGUGCUCGUAAUAAAUGUUUGUUUUUUGACAGUAAAUCUUUAGUCGAUUUUCGAUAA